AACAUCUGGAAGAAUUCUGAAUUAUAGUUACUUAUUAUCUUUCUUCUAAAUUACUUCAACUUUAUUCUUUCUUUUUGUCGAAAUUUCUAUCAUUUUGUUAUUUUUCCUUUGAUUUGUAUUUGUUAUAGAUUUCAUCAUCAUCAAAUUAAUUAAUUAAUUAAUUAUAUAGAAUUUUAUAGAAAGAUUGGAUACAUAAGGAAUUGAAGGAAGAUCGCAAGUUAUCUAAAUACUUAUAAAGAGGAAUUGGAGAGGGGUUGCAAAUUAUAUGAAUAUUACAAAAAGGGAUCGAGGAAUUCAAGAGACAUUACAAGAUUCUAUUUAUAGAACUGGAAAAGCAUUUCUCAUUGCUCGUGAUACACGAGUUUGUUCCCCUCGACACCGAGAGAAUCGAAAGUUACGGCUUGCAUUCUGCAACGCAAUUCACCAACACGCUUGUGCGCCUACGAGCUUCUCGUAUUAUUAUCGCAGCGUUUAUAUUUAGCGGCAAUUAAUCAGCUGUCGACCGUAUCCGCUUCAGCUUGAGCUCCAUUUUUAUUAUUUUUUAACAAAUCUUCGUCGAGAAAUUGUCGUCUAUUAUAACUCCUUCUCCAUUAUAACUCAUGAUCUAUAGAGAUUUUCCAAUUAAUUUCCUUUAUUUAUUAAAGAAAGAAUUUAUGUGUAUAUAUGAUAAAUAAAAAUAAUCGAGAAGCA